rnacentral:rRNA from 1 species
ACAACUUUCAACAACGGAUCUCUUGGUUCUGGCAUCGAUGAAGAACGCAGCGAAAUGCGAUAAGUAGUGUGAAUUGCAGAAUUCAGUGAAUCAUCGAAUCUUUGAACGCACAUU